rnacentral:rRNA from 1 species
GGUCAAGCGAAUAAGCGCACACGGUGGAUGCCUAGGCGGUCAGAGGCGAUGAAGGACGUGGUAGCCUGCGAAAAGUGUCGGGGAGCUGGCAACAAGCUUUGAUCCGGCAAUAUCCGAAUGGGGAAACCCACUGCUUCGGCAGUAUCUUGCAGUGAAUUCAUAGCUGCUUGAAGCGAACCCGGUGAACUGAAAUAUCUAAGUAACCGGAGGAAAAAAAAUCAACCGAGAUUCCCUGAGUAGUGACGAGCGAACGGGGAACAGCCCUUAAGCUGGAAUGGCUUUAGAAAAACAAUCUGGAAAGAUUGGCCAUAGAAGGUGAUAGCCCUGUAUUUAAAAGGGCCACUCCAGUGAAGACGAGUAGGGCGGGGCACGUGAAACCCUGUCUGAAUAUGGGGGGACCAUCCUCCAAGGCUAAAUACUCCUGACCGACCGAUAGUGAACCAGUACCGUGAGGGAAAGGCGAAAAGAACCCCGGAGAGGGGAGUGAAAUAGAUCCUGAAACCGUGUGCGUACAAGCAGUAGGAGCUCGCAAGAGUGACUGCGUACCUUUUGUAUAAUGGGUCAGCGACUUACUGUUCGUGGCAAGCUUAACCGUAUAGGGGAGGCGAAGGGAAACCGAGUCUGAUAAGGGCGCAUAGUCGCGGGCAGUAGACCCGAAACCGGGUGAUCUAGUCAUGGCCAGGGUGAAGGUGCCGUAACAGGUACUGGAGGCCCGAACCCACGUCUGUUGCAAAAGACGGGGAUGAGCUGUGAUUAGGAGUGAAAAGCUAAUCGAACCCGGAGAUAGCUGGUUCUCCUCGAAAGCUAUUUAGGUAGCGCCUCGGACGAAUACUACUGGGGGUAGAGCACUGUUAUGGCUAGGGGGUCAUCGCGACUUACCAAACCAUUGCAAACUCCGAAUACCAGUACGUACUAUCCGGGAGACACACGGCGGGUGCUAACGUCCGUCGUGAAAAGGGAAACAACCCAGACCCACAGCUAAGGUCCCAAAUUCACUGCUAAGUGGAAAACGAUGUGGAAAGGCAUAGACAGCCAGGAGGUUGGCUUAGAAGCAGCCACCCUUUAAAGAAAGCGUAAUAGCUCACUGGUCGAGUCGGUCUGCGCGGAAGAUUUAACGGGGCUAAGCAGUGAACCGAAGCUUGGGGUGCGUAAAACUUCGGUUUUAUGCGCGGUAGAGGAGCGUUCCGUAAGCCUGCGAAGGUGGAUUGAGAAGUCUGCUGGAGGUAUCGGAAGUGCGAAUGCUGACAUGAGUAACGAUAAUGCGGGUGAAAAGCCCGCACGCCGAAAGCCCAAGGUUUCCUUGCGCAACGUUAAUCGACGCAGGGUUAGUCGGUCCCUAAGGCGAGGGCGAAAGCCGUAGUCGAUGGGAAGCAGGUUAAUAUUCCUGCACCUCGCGUGAGUGCGAUGGAGGGACGGAGAAGGUUAGGUGUACCGGGCGUUGGUUGUCCCGGGGAAAGGCGGUAGGUUUGGAUCUUUGGCAAAUCCGGGAUCCUUUAAGACCGAGCACCGAGACGAGCCUUUAUGGCGAAGUCACUGAUACCACGCUUCCAGGAAAAGCUCCUAAGCUUCAGCUCACGAAGACCGUACCGUAAACCGACACAGGUGGGUAGGAUGAGAAUUCUCAGGCGCUUGAGAGAACUCGGGUGAAGGAACUAGGCAACAUGGCACCGUAACUUCGGGAGAAGGUGCACCCUUUUUGGUGGCUCAUGCGAGCUAUAGCUGAAGAGGGUCGCAGAAACCAGGCCGCUGCGACUGUUUAUCAAAAACACAGCACUCUGCAAACACGAAAGUGGACGUAUAGGGUGUGACGCCUGCCCGGUGCUGGAAGGUUAAUUGAUGGGGUCAGCCGCAAGGCGAAGCUCUUGAUCGAAGCCCCAGUAAACGGCGGCCGUAACUAUAACGGUCCUAAGGUAGCGAAAUUCCUUGUCGGGUAAGUUCCGACCUGCACGAAUGGCGUAACGACAGCGGCGCUGUCUCCACCCGAGACUCAGUGAAAUUGAAAUCGCUGUGAAGAUGCAGCGUUCCCGUGGCAAGACGGAAAGACCCCGUGAACCUUUACUAUAGCUUUACACUGAACGUUGAGUUCGUCUGUGUAGGAUAGGUGGGAGGCUAUGAAACUGUGGCGCUAGCUGCAGUGGAGCCAACCUUGAAAUACCACCCUGUCGUGCUUGACGUUCUAACCUAGAUCCGUUAUCCGGAUCAGGGACCGUGUAUGGUGGGUAGUUUGACUGGGGCGGUCUCCUCCUAAAGAGUAACGGAGGAGCACGAAGGUACGCUCAGCGCGGUCGGACAUCGCGCACUGUGUGCAAAGGCAUAAGCGUGCUUGACUGCAAGAUCGACGGAUCAAGCAGGUACGAAAGUAGGUCUUAGUGAUCCGGUGGUUCUGUAUGGAAGGGCCAUCGCUCAACGGAUAAAAGGUACUCCGGGGAUAACAGGCUGAUACCGCCCAAGAGUUCAUAUCGACGGCGGUGUUUGGCACCUCGAUGUCGGCUCAUCACAUCCUGGGGCUGUAGUCGGUCCCAAGGGUAUGGCUGUUCGCCAUUUAAAGUGGUACGCGAGCUGGGUUCAGAACGUCGUGAGACAGUUCGGUCCCUAUCUGCCAUGGGCGUUGGAAGUUUGAGAGGGGCUGCUCCUAGUACGAGAGGACCGGAGUGGACGAACCUCUGGUGUUCCGGUUGUCACGCCAGUGGCAUUGCCGGGUAGCUAUGUUCGGAAGCGAUAACCGCUGAAAGCAUCUAAGCGGGAAGCGCGCCUCAAGAUGAGACUUCCCGGGGCACAAGCCCCCUAAAGGAACCAUAUAGACUAUGUGGUUGAUAGGUCAGGUGUGUAAGUACAGCAAUGUAUUGAGCUAACUGAUACUAAUGAUCCGUGCGGCUUGACCAU